rnacentral:rRNA from 1 species
UAUUUAAAGUCUAACCUGCCCUAUGAAUUAAUUUUUAAAUGGCCGCGGUAUUUUGACCGUGCAAAGGUAGCAUAAUCAUUAGUUUUUUAAUUGGAAACUGGAAUGAAUGGUUGAAUGAGGAAAUAUCUGUCUCUUAGAAAUUUUAUUAGAAUUUUAUUUUUAAGUAAAAAAGCUUAAAUAAAGUUUAAAGACGAGAAGACCCUUUAGAAUUUUACAUAAAUUUUUUAUUUAAAGUUUUUGGUAUUUAAAUUUUUUAAUUUAAAAUUAUGUUUAGUUGGGGUGACUAAAAAAUUUAAUAAACUUUUUUUAUUUAAAAUCAUUAAUUUAUGAGUUUUUGAUCCAUUUUUUAUGAUUAUAAGAAUAAAUUACCUAAGGGAUAACAGCGUUAUAUUUUUUGAGAGUUCUUAUCGAAAAAAAAGAUUGCGACCUCGAUGUUGGAUUAAAAUUAAAUUAAGGUGCAGCUGCUUUAACUUUAGGUCUGUUCGACCUUUAAAAUUUUACAUG